CGUCGACGGAUUGAAGGAGAUAUCAGGAUGAUGUCACUUCAUGAUGAAGAGGAACCCGCCGGGAAGGCGUUCAGGAAAGGCUUCACAGAUGAAGCGAGGAUAACUCAGGAAGAGUUAAAGGACACCUCCAGGAUGGAGAAUGAGAGCCGCAACAGGAGUUCGGUGGGUCAGGAAGACUUAAGGAUUUAGCGUCAGGGUGAUGCAGGACACCAUCAGGAUGACGGUAGCAGGAUGCGUUGGCGACGGAUUGUGGGUCAGGAGACCGUAGGACAAAGUUGUCACGGACGAGCAGGGAGCACUAAAAGUAGCUGGAUUGGCUGCGAAACGAACCGGGAGCACUGUGUAAACAGUGCUCCCUUUUUUUAUG
rfam:Cedecea davisae DSM 4568 genomic scaffold Scaffold0, whole genome shotgun sequence.